rnacentral:rRNA from 1 species
ACGGGAGGCAGCAGUGGGGAAUAUUGCACAAUGGGGGAAACCCUGAUGCAGCAACGCCGCGUGAAGGAGGACGGUCUUCGGAUUGUAAACUUCUGUUCUUAGUGAAGAUAAUGACGGUAGCUAAGGAGCAAGCCACGGCUAACUACGUGCCAGCAGCCGCGGUAAUACGUAGGUGGCAAGCGUUGUCCGGAAUUACUGGGUGUAAAGGGAGCGCAGGCGGGAAAUCAAGUUGGAUGUGAAAUGUCGGGGCUUAACCCCGGAACUGCAUCCAAAACUGGUUUUCUUGAGUGAAGUAGAGGUAGGCGGAAUUCCCAGUGUAGCGGUGAAAUGCGUAGAGAUUGGGAGGAACGCCAGUGGCGAAGGCGGAUUACUGGACGACAACUGACGCUGAUACACGAAAGCGUGGGGAGCAAACAGGAUUAGAUACCCUGGUA